rnacentral:rRNA from 1 species
GACGAACGCUGGCGGCGUGCUUAACACAUGCAAGUCGAACGGAAAGGCCCUGCUUGCAGGGUGCUCAAGUGGCGAACGGGUGAGUAACACGUGGGUGAUCUGCCCCUUACUUUGGGAUAAGCCUGGGAAACUGGGUCUAAUACUGGAUAGGACCAUGCUGUAGGUGGUGUGGUGGAAAGAUUAGUUUCGGUAAGGGAUGAGCUCGCGGCCUAUCAGCUUGUUGGUGGGGUAAUGGCCUACCAAGGCGUCGACGGGUAGCCGGCCUGAGAGGGUGGACGGCCACAUUGGGACUGAGAUACGGCCCAGACUCCUACGGGAGGCAGCAGUGGGGAAUAUUGCACAAUGGGCGCAAGCCUGAUGCAGCGACGCCGCGUGGGGGAUGACGGCCUUCGGGUUGUAAACUCCUUUCAGCCAUGACGAAGCCCUUGUGGUGACGGUAGUGGUAGAAGAAGCACCGGCUAACUACGUG